rnacentral:misc_RNA from 1 species
GAUGAAGAACGCAGCGAAUUGCGAUAAGUAAUGUGAAUUGCAGAUUUUCAGUGAAUCAUCGAAUCUUUGAACGCACCUUGCGCUCCUUGGUAUUCCGAGGAGCAUGCCUGUUUGAGUGUCAUUAAAAGUUCUCAACCACACAUUAUAAUGUAUGUUGUGGCUUGGAUGUGGGGGGUGUUUUGCAGGCACUCUGAGGUGUGUCUGCUCCCCUGAAAUGCAUUAGUGGUGUCUUGAGCAUUACUACAGAUGUGAUAAUUAUCUACAUCCCAUUAUGCUGCAAACGCUGCUUCCUAAAGCACAUUUGAUGAAUUUGACCUCAAAUCAGGUAGGACUACCCGCUGAACUUAAGCAUAUCAAUAAGCGGAGGA